UGAGAUGGCCAGACAAUCGCGCUUGCAAAAGUGAGGAAAGUCCGGGCUCCAAAGGGUAAGGUGCCAGGUAACGCCUGGGGGACGUAAGUCCACGGCCAGUGCAACAGAGAGUAAACCGCCUGAAUGUAAGUUCAGGUAAGGGUGAAAGGGUGCGGUAAGAGCGCACCGCGCUUCUGGUAACAGAAGUGGCAUGGUAAACCCCACCAGGAGCAAGACCAAAUAGAGG
rnacentral:RNase_P_RNA from 1 species